UACGUAGGGCGCAAGCGUUGUCCGGAAUUAUUGGGCGUAAAGAGCUCGUAGGCGGUUUGUCACGCCUGCUGUGAAAACCCGAGGCUCAACCUCGGGCCUGCAGUGGGUACGGGCAGACUAGAGUGCGGUAGGGGAGACUGGAACUCCUGGUGUAGCGGUGGAAUGCGCAGAUAUCAGGAAGAACACCAAUGGCGAAGGCAGGUCUCUGGGCCGUAACUGACGCUGAGGAGCGAAAGCAUGGGGANCGAACAGG
rnacentral:rRNA from 1 species